AACCUAUUAGCUCAAAUGGUAGAGCACUAUGCACAUGCAUAGGGGAUGUAGGUUCGAUUCCUACAUAGGUUG
rfam:Spinacia oleracea cultivar SynViroflay scaffold73082.con0005.1, whole genome shotgun sequence.